rnacentral:rRNA from 1 species
AGUUCGAUUCUGGCUCAGAUUGAACGCUGGCGGGAUGUUUACACAUGCAAGUCGAACGGCAGCACGACUUCGGUCUGGUGGAGUGGCGAACGGGUGAGUAAUGUAUCGGAACGUGCCUAGUAGCGGGGGAUAACUACGCGAAAGCGUAGCUAAUACCGCAUACGCCCUUCGGGGGAGCGGGGACCUUCGGGCCUCGCACUAUUAGAGCUAUGCCGGAUAUCGGAUUAGCUAGUUGGUGGUAAUGCACCACUGCUGGUGACGAUCCGUAGCUGGUUUGAGAGGACGACCAGCCACACUGGGACCGGAGACACGGCCCAGACUCCUACGGGAGGCAGCAGUGGGGAAUUUGGGAUGGCCGGGGAAACCCGAUCCGGCCAUCCCGCGUGCGAUGAAGGCCUUCGGGUUGUAAAGCACUUUUUGGCAGGAAAGAAACGGCACGGGAUAAAUACCCCGUGCAACUGACGGUACCUGCAGAAUAAGCACUGGCUAACUACGUGCCAGCAGCCGUAAUACGUAGGGUGCAAGCGUUAAUCGGAAUUACUGUGGGCGUAAAGCGUGCGUUCGGAAAGAAAGAUGUGAAAUCCCAGAGCUUAACUUUGGAACUGCAUUUUUAAUCAACAUUUAGAGUGUGUCAGAGGGAGUGUGGAAUUCCGCGUAGCAGGAAAUGCGUAGAUAUGCGGAGGAACACCGAUGGCGAAGGCAGCCUCUGGGAUAACACUGACGCUCAUGCACGAAAGCGUGGGGAGCAAACAGGAUUAGAUACCCUGGUAGUCCACGCCCUAAACGAUGUCAACUAGCUGUUGGGGCCUCGGGCCUUGGUAGCGCAGCUAACGCGUGAAGUUGACCGCCUGGGGAGUACGGUCGCAAGAUUAAAACUCAAAGGAAUUGACGGGGACCCGCGUUGCCGGUGGAUGAUGUGACACCUGAUGCAACGCGAAAAACCUUACUCAUCUCUUGGAUAUGUCUGGAAUCCGAAGAGAUUUGGGAGUGCUCGCAAGAGAACCGGAACACAGGUGCUGCAUGGCCGUCAUCAGCCCGUGUCGUGAGAUGCUGGGUUAAAGUCCGUAACGAGCGCAACCCUUGUCAUUGCUACGAAAGGGCACUCUAAUGAGACUGCCGGUGACAAACCGAGGAAGGUGGGGAUGACGUCAAGUCCUCAUGGCCCUUAUGGUGGGGAUUCAGACCAUACAAUGGUCGGGACAGAGGGCCUACAACCCGCGAGGGGGAGCCAAUCCCAGAAACCCGAUCAGAACUGAUCGCAGUCUGCAACUCUCGACUGCGUAAGUCGGAAUCUUCUGCUGGUAAUCGCGGAUCAGCAUGUCGCGGUGAAUACGUUCCCGGGUCUUGUACACACCGUCACACCAUGGAGUGGGUUUUACCAGAAGUAGUUAGCUCAACCGUAAGGAGGGCGAUUACCACGGUAGGAUCUGGCGACUGGGGUGAAGUCGUAACAAGGUAG